rnacentral:rRNA from 1 species
GUCUACGGCCAUACCACCCUGAAUUCGCCUGACCUCGUCUGAUCUCGGAAGCUAAGCAGGGUCGGGCCUGGUUAGUACUUGGAGGGGGAAGAAGAAGUAAGAAGACUUGGAACUAGGCU